rnacentral:rRNA from 1 species
GACGGAGGGUGCAAACGUUGUUCGGAAUCACUGGGCAUAAAGCGCACGUAGGCGGCGCACUAAGUCAGGUGUGAAAGCCCCCGGCUCAACCGGGGAACUGCAUUUGAUACUGGUGUGCUUGAGUUCGGUUGGGGCGAGCGGAACUCCAGGUGGAGCGGUGAAAUGCGUAGAUAUCUGGAGGAACACCGGUGGCGAAAGCGGCUCGCUGGUCCGAUUCUGACGCUGAGGUGCGAAAGCUAGGGUAGCAAACGGG